UUACGGCCACAUCACAAUGGAACACUGGUUCCUGUAUGAUCACUAAAGUUAAGCAACAUUGAGCCUGGUCAGUACCUCAAUUGGUGACCACUUGGGAAUACCAGGUGCUAUA